GACAGAGGUGCCGAGCGUUAGGCGGAAUCACUGGGCUUAAAGCGUGUGUAGGCGGACCGUUAAGUACCUUGUGAAAUCCCACGGCUUAACCGUGGAACUGCUUGGUAUACUGGUUCUCUUGGGCCAUCUAGGGGCUAGCGGAACAAACGGUGGAGCGGUGAAAUGCGUAGAUAUCGUUUGGAACGCCAAUGGUGAAAACAGCUAGCUGGGGAUGUGCCGACGCUGAGACACGAAAGCCAGGGGAGCGAACGGG
rnacentral:rRNA from 1 species